GCCCUGGUGGGGUAAUGGAUUAUCCUUUUGGCCUGCGGAGCCAGAGAUCCGGGUUCAAUUCCCGGCCAGGGCA
rnacentral:tRNA from 2 species